UAGAGUAUGGGAGAGGUAGAUGGAAUUUCUGGUGUAGGGGUAAAAUCCGUAGAGAUCAGAAGGAAUACCGAUUGCGAAGGCGAUCUACUGGAACAUUACUGACGCUCAGAUGCGAAAGCGUGGGGAGCAAACAGGAUUAGAUACCCUGGUAGUCCACGCCCUAAACGAUGUACACUAGUUGUUGCUAUACUAGAUAUGGCAGUAAUGCAGUUAACACUUUAAGUGUACCGCCUGGGGAGUACGGUCGCAAGAUUAAAACUCAAAGGAAUAGACGGGGACCCGCACAAGCGGUGGAGCAUGUGGUUUAAUUCGACGAUACGCGAAAAACCUUACCUGGCCUUGACAUAGUAGGAAUCUUUAAGAGAUUAGAGAGUGCUAGCUUGCUAGAACCUACAUACAGGUGCUGCACGGCUGUCGUCAGCUCGUGUCGUGAGAUGUUGGGUUAAGUCCCGCAACGAGCGCAACCCACGUGAUUAGUCGCUAACGGUUCGGCCGAGAACUCUAAUCAGACUGCCUUCGUAAGGAGGAGGAAGGUGUGGACGACGUCAAGUCAUCAUGGCCCUUACGGCCAGGGCUACACACGUGCUACAAUGGGAUAUACAAAGAGUCGCAAUACCGCGAGGUGGAGCAAAUCUAGAAAAUAUCUCCCAGUUCGGAUUGUUCUCUGCAACUCGAGAACAUGAAGUUGGAAUCGCUAGUAAUCGUGGAUCAGCAUUGCCACGGUGAAUACGUUCCCGGGUCUUGUACUCACCGCCCGUCACACCAUGGGAGUUGAUUUCAUUCGAAGCGGGGAUGCUAAAGUAGCUACCUUCCACAAUGGGAUUAGCGACUGGGGUGAAGUCGUAACAAGGUAACC
rnacentral:rRNA from 1 species